UCCCGCCUACGCAAGCACGAGGGGGCUGGGACCGGCAGGCCGGAAGUCUGGGCGGGGACGGUGGCCCCGAGGGAACAAUCGCGGCCGAGUUUCCCGGCCCGUCACUCUGGCACGCAGCCUUUUUUUUUUUUUUUUGACUCCGCCUGUGGUAGCCAUUGUUUUCCCUGAGGAGUAGACCGGAGUGACGAGCAUUAGCACGGCAGAUGCCACCUCGACUUUACCGGACUUCUUGCGUCGGAAUAAUUAUUCAGAUUUAUGGGGAAAGUGGCAGAGCUCCUACUGAGUCGUGCGUCCUCCGCCCGCGUCCCCCCUGCGGUCCCCGCACCGAGAGCCGGACUCCGUGCGUUGAGCGCCUUUCCCGCUCCCUGUGUGCGGGUCUAACCCAGAGCACCUGUCAGACCCGAGGGAUUGAACUCAAGGCACUCAACCGCUGACCCACAUCCCCA